rnacentral:rRNA from 1 species
GAAAAGAACCCCGGGAGGGGAGUGAAAUAGAACCUGAAACCCUGCACUUACAAGCUGUGGAAGCACAUUUCUUGUGUGACCGCGUACUUUUUGUAGAACGGGCCAACGAGUUACGUUAAGUAGCAAGGUUAAGCACUUAAGGUGCGGAGCCGUAGCGAAAGCGAGUUUUAACUGAGCGUUCAGUUACUUGACGUAGACCCGAAACCGGGCGACCUACCCAUGAGCAGGAUGAAGCGAAAGUAAAAUUUCGUGGAGGUCCGAACCCACGAGCGUUGAAAAGCUCGGGGAUGACUUGUGGGUAGCGGUGAAAUUCCAAUCGAGCCCGGAGAUAGCUGGUUCUCCCCGAAAUAGCUUUAGGGCUAGCCUCAAGGUGAGAGAUACGGAGGUAGAGCACUGAAUGUCCUAGGGGGUAUUGCACCUACCGAAGACUAUCAAACUCCGAAUGCCGUCAUCUUAUACUUGGGAGUCAGACUGUGGGUGAUAAGAUUCAUAGUCGAAAGGGCAACAGCCCAGAUCGUCAGCUAAGGUCCCUAAAUGUAAGUUAAGUGGUAAAGGAUGUGGGAUUGCACAGACAACCAGGAUGUUGGCUUAGAAGCAGCCACUCAUUCAAAGAGUGCGUAAUAGCUCACUGGUCGAGUGAUCCUGCGCCGAAGAUUUCCGGGGCUAAAACUUACUACCGAAGCUACGGCAUCAGUAAUGAUGGGUAGGGGAGCUUCCCAUACGGGUUGAAGCAUGACCGUAAGGACAUGUGGACAGUAUGGGAGUGAGAAUGUUGGCAUGAGUAGCGAGAUGUGGGUGAGAAUCCCACAGGCCGUAAACCCAAGGUUUCCAGGGGAAGGUUCGUCCGCCCUGGGUUAGUCGGGACCUAAGCUGAGGCCGAAAGGCGUAGGUGAUGGACAACAGGUUGAUAUUCCUGUACUACCGAUAACCGUUUGAGAGAAGGGAUGACACAGUAGGAUAAGCUAAGCACACUGUUGGUUAUGUGUGCCCAAGCAUUGAGGCAGUCAAAGUAGGCAAAUCCGCUUUGAUAAUGCUGGGAUGUGAUGGGGAGCGAAAUUUAGUAGCGAAGUAGCUGAUUUCACACUGUCAAGAAAAGUCUCUAUCGAGGUUAAAGGUACCCGUACCGCAAACCGACACAGGUGGGUGAGGAGAGUAUCCUAAGGCCAGCGAGAGAACUGUUGUUAAGGAACUCGGCAAAAUGACCCCGUAACUUAGGGAUAAGGGGUGCCACCAUCAGGUGGCCGCAGAGAAUAGGCCCAAGCGACUGUUUACCAAAAACAUAGGUUUCUGCUAAGUCGCAAGACGAUGUAUAGGAGCUGACGCCUGCCCGGUGCUGGAAGGUUAAGGGGAUCUGUUAGAGCAAUCGAAGCAGUGAACUUAAGCCCCAGUAAACGGCGGCCGUAACUAUAACGGUCCUAAGGUAGCGAAAUUCCUUGUCGGGUAAGUUCCGACCCGCACGAAAGGCGUAACGAUUUGGGCACUGUCUCAACAACAGACUCGGUGAAAUUGUAAUUCCGGUGAAGAUGCCGGAUACCUGCGACAGGACGGAAAGACCCCAUGGAGCUUUACUGUAGCUUGACAUUGGGUCUUGGUACUACAUGUACAGGAUAGGUGGGAGGCUUUGAAACCAGGACGCCAGUUUUGGCGGAGCCAUCCUUGGGAUACCACCCUUGUAGUACUGGGACUCUAACCAUAGGCCAUGAAUCUGGUCUUGGGACACUGUCAGGUGGGCAGUUUGACUGGGGCGG